UGGCAAUCCAACAGCAGAAUGGGAGGAUAAAAUAAUCAGAACUAGACUGGGAAUUUAUAGAGAAGUCAUUCUCCCUUACAAAAGGGGCAUGCUUGAGUGAAGUGUACACACUUGCCACCAUGUUUCCCUCCUGUCAUAAAUAUGACAAGAGUAAUACUAGAAAGAAGAAAGAGAAAAGUGGAUUCUCAACUAGAAGCAAAAACAUCCACUGAAGUUUUGCCACAGAUCAUUCUGAGGAAGUACCAUACGACUUCACCUUCUCAGGCCGAGGUAGCAGCUUGACUGCCACUCCGCAGAUCAAGACUAGAGGCAAAUGUAAGCACUAUACAGGUGGGAUGAGAAACAGCUGUUCAGCUGCCUGGCUAGAAGAACAGGCCCAGUUCUUUGCUACAGGAUGGACAUGGAAAAGUUCAGGCAGUUGAAGUUACUGGCGUCAGCCACAUGAGAUUGGUGAUGGGAUUGGCUUCUACAAGAGGUCCAUGUGGUUCUCAUUUCUGAAAACAGAUGUUUGGAAACCAAUGUUUUCAAAGAUAAUGUGAAACUAGACCAAUAUGCUGCACUAUGGAGAAAAACUAACCUUGACAGAAGAAAAAAUAUUUUCUUGAGGCAGAAAAUGAAUGACUAUUGGUCAGGACAUUCACAGAAGUCUGUUCUGUAAGUUGGGUUAUAUGGAAGCAGAGAUGCUAGGUCAACCCAUGUUGUGCCCUCCCUCUUUUGGUAAGCAAAACAUUGAUGCUUAUGACAUCCUCCUUUUCUUUGGUGGUGGCCUUGAAAAUUGUUAUUCCUUCCAGAAAGGGCUGGAUGUCACUUGCUUAUGAAUUUGAAUCCUUCUCUUUUAGCCAAAUGAUAGAACUGAGCUUGCUCCAUGAGCUUCAUGUGUGUAAACAUUAGUGGAGAUCCAAGUGGCUCUGCAGGUAGAAUAGACACUCAGGUCCCUCCUGCCCAAGUCCAGGGGCUUGCUUCCAUGAAUCCAAUCCUUUAGUUCAUAUCAGUUCAUGGUGUACCAGAAGCCUCAACACAUCUGCAAAUUUUUACAGAACAUGUUUGUGCAAGGCAAUAAAUUAGGUCACCAGGCCUUCAAAGGCUCCUUCCACUUAGGGGUGGUGGAGCCCAUGAAGCUGAGAAUCACCCUUGCCAGCUGUUGGAACUUGAAAUAAUCCUCCAAAAACCUCUUGCUAUUUUAGGAGGGUCAUCCUGGUGGUUCUGUGUAUG
rnacentral:lncRNA from 1 species